AUGAAAAUCCUCUUCAUUACUUUGCUGAUUUUCUCAAUUCAUUUAGGAAAUGAAGUGCAAAUGCUAGAGGCACAAGGAUGCACUAGAAUCAUACCUGGUUUUUGUAGUCAGAAAUGGAAGAAUUUUUUUUGCUACUUGAAUUGCAUGGGAGAAUGUAGUACAUUUGGCGCAAAGGGAGAAUGUCGUAACGAAGACAAAGAUUGUCAUUGUACUUGUUGUUAUUAA